AGCGAACGCUGGCGGCAGGCCUAACACAUGCAAGUCGAACGAACUCUUCGGAGUUAGUGGCGGACGGGUGAGUAACACGUGGGAACGUGCCUUUUGGUUCGGAAUAACUCAGGGAAACUUGUGCUAAUACCGAAUGUGCCCUUCGGGGGAAAGAUUUAUCGCCAUUAGAGCGGCCCGCGUCUGAUUAGCUAGAUGGUGAGGUAACGGCUCACCAAGGCGACGAUCAGUAGCUGGUCUGAGAGGAUGACCAGCCACACUGGGACUGAGACACGGCCCAGACUCCUACGGGAGGCAGCAGUGGGGAAUCUUGCGCAAUGGGCGAAAGCCUGACGCAGCCAUGCCGCGUGAAUGAUGAAGGUCUUAGGAUUGUAAAAUUCUUUCACCGGGGACGAUAAUGACGGUACCCGGAGAAGAAGCCCCGGCUAACUUCGUG
rnacentral:rRNA from 1 species